ACGCACCUUUCGGGGUGAGUGGCGGACGGGUGAGUAACGCGUGAGAAUCUGCCUAGAGGUCGGGGACAACCAUUGGAAACGAUGGCUAAUACCGGAUAUGCCUUACGGGGUGAAAGAUUAAUCGCCUUUAGAAGAGCUCGCGUCUGAUUAGCUAGUUGGUAGGGUAAAAGCCUACCAAGGCAUCGAUCAGUAGCUGGUCUGAGAGGAUGACCAGCCACACUGGGACUGAGACACGGCCCAGACUCCUACGGGAGGCAGCAGUGGGGAAUUUUCCGCAAUGGGCGAAAGCCUGACGGAGCAAGACCGCGUGAGGGAGGAAGGCUCUUGGGUCGUAAACCUCUUUUGUCAGGGAAGAACAAAAUGACGGUACCUGACGAAUCAGCAUCGGCUAACUCCGUGCCAGCAGCCGCGGUAAUACGGAGGAUGCAAGCGUUAUCCGGAAUUAUUGGGCGUAAAGCGUCCGCAGGUGGCUGAUCAAGUCUGCGGUCAAAGACCGGGGCUUAACCCUGGAAAGGCCGUGGAAACUGAUCAAGCUAGAGUACCGUAGGGGUAGAGGGAAUUCCCGGUGUAGCGGUGAAAUGCGUAGAGAUCGGGAGGAACAUCGGUGGCGAAAGCGCUCUACUGGACGGUGACUGACACUCAGGGACGAAAGCUAGGGGAGCGAAUGGGAUUAGA
rnacentral:rRNA from 1 species